rnacentral:rRNA from 1 species
GAUGAACGCUGGCGGCGUGCCUAAUACAUGCAAGUCGAGCGAACGGACGAGAAGCUUGCUUCUCUGACGUUAGCGGCGGACGGGUGAGUAACACGUGGAUAACCUACCUAUAAGACUGGGAUAACUUCGGGAAACCGGAGCUAAUACCGGAUAAUAUUUUGAACCGCAUGGUUCAAAAGUGAAAGACGGUCUUGCUGUCACUUAUAGAUGGAUCCGCGCUGCAUUAGCUAGUUGGUAAGGUAACGGCUUACCAAGGCAACGAUGCAUAGCCGACCUGAGAGGGGGGUGGGCCACACGGGAACUGAGAAACGGUCCAGACUCCUACGGGAGGCAGCAGGAGGGAAUUUUCCGAAAUGGGCGAAAGCCUGACGGAGAAACGCCGCGUGAGUGAAGAAGGUCUUCGGAUCGUAAAACUCUUUUUUUAGGGAAGAAAAAAUGUGUAAGUAACGGUGCACAUCUUGACGGAACCUAAAAAGAAAACCACGGCUAACUACGU